rnacentral:rRNA from 1 species
GGAGGCAGCAGUAAGGAAUAUUGCACAAUGGGCGCAAGCCUGAUGCAGCCAUGCCGCGUGUAUGAAGAAGGCCUUCGGGUUGUAAAGUACUUUCAGUCGGGAGGAAGGUGGUGAGCUUAAUACGCUCAUCAAUUGACGUUACCGACAGAAGAAGCACCGGCUAACUCCGUGCCAGCAGCCGCGGUAAUACGGAGGGUGCAAGCGUUAAUCGGAAUUACUGGGCGUAAAGCGCACGCAGGCGGUUGAUUGAGUCAGAUGUGAAAUCCCCGGGCUUAACCCGGGAAUUGCAUCUGAUACUGGUCAGCUAGAGUCUUGUAGAGGGGGGUAGAAUUCCAUGUGUAGCGGUGAAAUGCGUAGAGAUGUGGAGGAAUACCGGUGGCGAAGGCGGCCCCCUGGACAAAGACUGACG